CAGCGCCGUUGAAAAAGUGUAUUAGGAGUCGGCUGUUCACUUUCUCUGUGUCCCAGUAAUCCAUGACAGUGUGAUAGUGAGCCGGGAUUUGCAGUACCAGGACCCUGAAACUGAAGCAGCUAAAUGGAAUUCAGCCAUCAACUCGGGAAGUGGAUGUCAGGCCUGUGACCGUUUCUGCUGCAAAUGAGGCAAUUUGGAGGCAAGUUACAGAAAUAGCAUCAUCCAUUAAUUAAUUCCCAACCUGAAGCUCAUGUCUUUGGCUAGGUCUGAAUCAGCAAACUAAGCAACAUCCUUACAUAUGAGGUUGGAGGACGACCCCUCAUGACGUCCCCUCAGCUGCACUCUUCACACAAGCAGCAAAGGCCUCCAUCAGAUCUUUGCACCCCUCGCCUCCCUUCUCUGCCACACUGGAAGAAAGAUGACAAUUCGAUCACAAAUCAAGAUAACCCAGAUUUCAGCA